AGAGGAGAGGAGAGCGUCAGGAGCGGAGAGAGGAAGGGAGGAGAGAAGAGAGAGAGUGGGAGGGGGGGAAUGCCAGGGAAGGAGAGCGAGCGUCGGCCCAAAUAAAGACAUGGGGGGCCUGGGAGGGGCUGGACCCCUCUGACUAUAUAAACGCUGGCUGUCUGGAGGGUCGGGUUUGGUGGUCGGGGAUUAGGACCAGUAACCGCCGCCGUCGCAGCCGCCGCCGCCGCACCGUCCGUCCUCAGGGGACUCCCUUCAGCCGUCUCAGCAUCCUGGUCCUCAUCUUCCUCUUCGUCCUCCUGGUCUUCGUCCCUGUGGCCCAGUGCCAGGGCGCUCCCCAGAGCCAGCAUGCCGCGCGUGGACUCGGACCUGAAGCUGGACUUCAAAGAUGUCCUCUUCAGACCCAAGCGGAGCAGCCUCCGAAGCCGCUCGGAGGUGGAUCCUCCAGAGGACCUUCACAUUCCGUAACUCCAAGCAGACCUACACGGGCAUCCCCAAUCAUCGCCGCAACUAUGGACACCACGGGACCUUCGAGAUGGCACGGGUCCUCAGUAAGCACACCCUCUUCACAGCCAUCCAUAAGCACCUACACUAUAGAGGAAUGGAAAACUUUUGCCGGCAGCUACCCAGAAUGCAUUGAGCAUCUGGCCGUGAGCUCCGGCAGUGGCCAGGCCGACCUGGAGAAGCUGUGUCAGAUCGUGGAGGCUGUGCCCUCUCUCAAGUACAUCUGUCUGGACGUCGCCAACGGAUACUCAGAGUAUUUCGUGGAGUUUGUCAAGACUGUCCGGGGGAAGUUCCCACAACACACCAUCAUGGCUGGCAACGUGGUGACAGGGAGAUGGUGGAGGAGCUAAUCCUGUCAGGUGCUGACAUCAUCAAAGUGGGCAUCGGGCCAGGAUCUGUGUGUACAACGCGCAUCAAGACCGGGGUGGGAUACCCCCAGCUCAGUGCUGUCAUAGAGUGUGCUGACUCCGCCCACGGACUCAAGGGCCACAUCAUCUCUGAUGGUGGCGUGCAGUUGCCCUGGUGAUGUGGCUAAGGCUUUUGGGGCCGGCGCUGACUUCGUGAAUGAUGGGGGGCAUGCUGGCGGGCCACGACCAGUGCACCGGCGAGGUCAUCGAGAGAGACGGCAAGAAAGUACAAGAUGUUCUACGGCAUGAGCUCCGACACCGCCAUGAAGAAAUACGUCGGGGCGUCGCCGAAUAUAGGGCGUCGGAGGGGCGGACGGUGGAGGUGGCCUACCGAGGGGACGUGGAGCACACGGUGCUGGACGUCCUGGGGGGCUGCGCUCCACCUGCACCUACGUGGGCGCGGCCAAGCUGAAGGAGCUUAGCCGCCGCACCACCUUCAUCAGGGUCACACAGCAGUCCAGCCACAUGUUCGGCUAGCGCCCAGCGCGACCGCGGGUACGACAACAGCGUCCGUGCGUCAAUUUGGUGUAAUGUGUGUGUGUGUGUGUGUUCAAUUAUUUCAAGUCAUAAUAGCGUGAUGGGAAUUCAAUUCAUACCUCUAUGAAGUCCGUGUUUAAAGGUGACAUAUUAUACCACCAGGUGUAUUUUUAAAACGGCUUGUAACAGCUAAUCACACUCACACCUGGUGGUAUGAUAUGUAACUUUUAACACUAGAUUAAUCCUAUAAAGCUAAAGCAUUUCUUCUUUAAGUCCCACGUCAAAGAGUGCGUUGCACCUAUCACUGUCAUGUAAAACACUCCCAUCAAUAAAGUUUGAGUACAUCAACAGUAGAACCCCCCCCCCCUCCCCCAGGGAAGAGCCAUGACAGACUGUGAAGCCACAAGUGUUAAACCGUACCAUAAGCUGCUGGUAGCCACACCGUAGUAAUGUACAUUGUAGGAGUCGUGGGAGUUGGUUUUAAUUGUUUAAUUACCUGCUGCUUCAUAAUUCUUUACAAAAUGGUAAUUAAGGAAAUAUGUUAAGGAUGGUGAGGUGCUGUAGAGACGAGAGAUUCAAUGAUGAUAAUGGACACAAUAGUGCUAAACAAGUGAUCGGUGAUUAAACGUUUGUGCUUUAUAAAUAUGCAUUGCAUGUUACAUGUCGCAAAAAUGGCGACCAAUGUAUCUUAUAUCACGGUUUAUACGGCCGGCCUUCAAUAAAGAGUGGAAAAACGAUGUUAUGCAAAUGCAAGGAUUGAGGCAACGGUGAUACCGUUUGAAUGUGACUGGGGAGAUUCUCUGGGUUGAACACUUUAAUAAACUGUAUGCUGGUCAAUAGAUGGACCUCCUUAUCAGUCUUGACCCAAAACAGUAGGCUACAUGCUAGGUAGCUGCUUCCUGUGUUGUUGUCCCCACAUGCUAAUGCUGUGUCCAUCUCUGUCUCUUUAAAAUACAUCGGAUGCCUCGUCUGUCAUUUAAUGUGCCACUGAACUGUAAAGCACUGCAGCUGUUCACAGCAGUAGGGUAAACAGGGUUGGGUUAAGCGGGGUUUAAUACAAGCAAGGAUGCAUGUGUACCGCCCCGUUACAUAUACAGGGACGGCCUGGUUAUCAGCUUCAUGUAUCUGAUCAAAGUAUCGGACAUACUUGAAGCACUUCUGUUGCUGAUGUUGUCUUUGUGGGGCGGGGAGGGGUGUUCUGAUUGGGUCUUGACUCCACCGUGCCUCGGGAUACAUUAUUAAAGAGUUUAGUGCUCUUAUGAACUGAGAUAUGCUGUACUCACAUACUUGAAGAACGGGAUCUUCAGGGACUGGAAAGCAAUUAUACAAUAGUCAUUUCAAGACGUAUAAAUAUCAUGCCUUUACUGGAGAGCAACACUGUGGCUAAAGAGGAAGGAGAGACUGAUCCGUUUACAGGGAUCACGAAAAAAUAUAUCCCUAAUAAAACAGAAUACUACUUAACUCUGCUUGCGUUGUGUUUUUUUCCCUCGGCACAGUAGCUAUUUGUGGUGUUUGGAAACAAAUGACCUCAAAUAAAUAUUAAUGUGUCUUUACAGAGUUUAUACAUUCAACAUCUGGGCACUUAAUGGUCAGUCGUAAUUCUAUGAUUGGAUCACCAUUUUUAAACUGCUGCCUGUCACUAUUGUCAAGAUGUUAUGUUUAUUCAUGGGUUAUUCUUACUGGUUUGCGGCAAAUAAAUAAAACAGUUGACACCGA